CGUACUUUCUUUCUGAAAUACAUUAACAGCCUCCAGAAGGUUCAGAGAUGCUGUGGCAGCCCUGUUAGACUUCAGAAGUCCCUGAUAUCUCAAGUGCAUCGAAAGUCUAGUCGGCCGGAAUCGCGGAAGCCUCGGGUCAAGAUGCUGCAGGAGAAUAAAGCGGGACCUGGUCUGCAGCCUGCUCAAGCGUGUGAGUCCUGUGGCUUCACCUUAUUCUGACUUGCGUGUUUGUUUGUUUGUGGUGGAUCCUUUUAAAUCUGUUCGCAGAGGGCGUGCAAUUUCUGACACUGUUUUAUUUGCUCCUCCCGCGAGUGACAGAGCAGAGUGUCCCAACAAUACUCCAUGUAUUUCGCGUCAGGGGCCUGUGGGUCAGCAAGGUUAUUAAUAAACAUAGCCUCUCGUUCUAAUUUA